UACGAAGGGGGCUAGCGUUGCUCGGAAUUACUGGGCGUAAAGGGCGCGUAGGCGGACAGUUUAGUCAGAGGUGAAAGCCCAGGGCUCAACCUUGGAAUUGCCUUUGAUACUGGCUGUCUUGAGUUCGGGAGAGGUGAGUGGAAUGCCGAGUGUAGAGGUGAAAUUCGUAGAUAUCAGGAGGAACACCGGUGGCGAAGGCGGGUCUCUGGGCCGAUACUGACGCUGAGGAGCGAAAGCGUGGGGAGCGAACAGG
rnacentral:rRNA from 1 species